AGAGUUUGAUCAUGGCUCAGAUUGAACGCUGGCGGCAGGCUUAACACAUGCAAGUCGAGCGGAGCGAGGGUGCUUGCACCUUAGCUUAGCGGCGGACGGGUGAGUAAUGCUUAGGAAUCUGCCUAUUAGUGGGGGACAACGUUUCGAAAGGAACGCUAAUACCGCAUACGUCCUACGGGAGAAAGCAGGGGAUCUUCGGACCUUGCGCUAAUAGAUGAGCCUAAGUCGGAUUAGCUAGUUGGUGGGGUAAAGGCCUACCAAGGCGACGAUCUGUA
rnacentral:rRNA from 1 species